rnacentral:sRNA from 1 species
GGGGGAAGUUUAGGAGUUGAGGAAAGAAGAUUAAAGAGCGCGAGGAGACAAAUAAAAAGAAGUGUUAAGAAUUGCCUUUGGGACUCUGAAGGCUGAAGAAUUGAUAAAUUGCAAGUUUGUGCCCCAUAGCUGCACAGACUGCCUGAAGUUACAUUUAGAGACUGAAAUCACUGCACCUUAAAAACAAAAGAUUGAGCUGCACUGUAUUCCUGGAAAGCACCUACCAAGGCUUCCUAUUACCUAUUUCACAGCAUAAGCCUACAGGGUACGAAGAAUGAACUCUGAGAAUGUUUGGAGAAUGUUUCAUCAUUACUAACAGGAUAUCCCUCAUGACAUUGCUGUCUGAUUCAGAGGAUGUAUGUACAGGCUUUUUACCUGGGUAUAUUGUGUGAUGCUGAGGUUUGGAGUAUGAAUGAUCCCAUCACCCAAGUACUGAGCAUGUACUGAACAGUUAGUUUGGUUUUUUGUUGUUGUUGUUUUGUUGUUUUUUUGAGAUGGAGUCUCAUUUUGUCACCCAGGCUGGAUUGCAGUGGUGCAAUCUUGGCUCACUGCAACCUCCGUCCCCCCAGUUCAAGUGAUUCUCGUGCCUUAGCCUCCCAAGUAGCUGGGAUUACAGAUGUGCGCCAUCAUACCCAGCUAAUUUUUGUAUUUUUAGUAGAGACAGGGUUUCACCAUGUUGUCCAGGCUGGUCUCAAACUCCUGGCCUCAAGUGAUCCACCUGCCUUGGCCUCCCAAAGUACUGGGAUUACAGGUGUGAGCCACCGCGCCUGGCCACUGGGAAGACUUUGAUUUCUGGUCACAUCUUUUGAUAAUAAGGAUCUGGAGCCAAAGAAGAAACAGAAACUACUUUUAAGACCUUUGGAGAUCCGAGUUUAGUGGACUCUUAAGAGCCUGUAUUAUUUCUUGGAUGACUUAUCCAGCCCUUUGUAGAAUCAGAACUCUCACAAUUUUCUUUAAAUCAAAUAAAACCCAAGGGGUUAAGUGGAUCUUUAAAAUUAUUUCCAGGUCAUUCUUUCAAUAAACACUUAUUGGUUUAUUUGUUAUUAUUUCAACAAACUAUGUGACAGGCAAACAUGAACUCAUUUCUUUCUUUUUUUUUUUUUUUUUUUUUUACCUUUCAACUCCUUUUAUUUAUUUACCUAUUUAUUUUCCUUAAGCAAGUAAAUCUCCUUAUGGAUUGUUAAGGGCCCUGUAUGUAUUUGCAUGUAGCCAAAGAUUCAGUCUCUUGCAGGAACUCUGGUUGUCAACUGGUGAUCUUGCCUUUGUCUUUUCUCAUAGUUCUGCCUGUGGCGCCUGUCACUAGCAGUCAAAUAAGGACAAUUUUACCAUUCUCUCCUGCUGCUCUAAUUUUUUUUUAGUGCCAGUACAUGAAUUUGUUAUUCUUUAUAAUUCCCUUUGAAGUUGGAAAUCCAAGGGGAAUCUAAAACCGACCAGAUGUUUCUGCUGCUGGAAAGGAAAGAGAGUAAGGAUUAAGUUUAACAAAAACUUGGUCUCCA